AAUGUAAGAUGCCUAAUUAGACUUGAAUUUCAGAUAAACAGCAAUUCCUGUUUAGUACAAGUAUGUUCCAUGCAAUAUUUGGAACAUACUUAUACUAAAAAUUAGUCACUGUUGAUCUAAAAUUCACAUUUAAGUGGCCAUCCU
rnacentral:miRNA from 1 species